rnacentral:lncRNA from 1 species
AACAGAAGAGAAUCGCGUAUCGCCAUCGAAAUCACCACCCAGUUGCUUUGGGCACGGGUACUCCGAAAUACCAAGUCACUGGGGAGAAAACCCGAGAUCUCUCCUAAGAUACGGAGGAACAGAUUCGAGGCUGAUGGCACCGCCCUCUCCGAUGAAGUGGAAGAGAUACGAUACAGACGACCAGAGAAUCGCGAUUGACAGCCUGAGGAACCUGGGGAAGGGAAGACUCACCCUUUAUAGCGCAACGGGGACGGAAAUCUUCGCAAAACUACAAGGCCGCCACUAUGGCCAUUGGAGACAAACGGGAACGUGGAGAUUUCCCCUCCACUACUGCUCCGGCCCCCCCUCGAGACGGACUCGAUUGCGGCGGGAAGAACAGCGACAGUGUAAUCGCCAUCCCUAGCGGCCUAUCUCCUCGAUUGCCGACCUUCUCUGGUUAAUCCACUUACCGUGGGCUCGGGGAGGGGGAGGCCGUCCCUGUCGAGGGGGCCUCUCCCUCCUUGACUCGUUCCCAGCUUCGUUGAAAGUCAACAGCGCUCCUCGUUGGAGGACGGCGGUCGCCGCACGGCGCCUCGGGUUUCAGCCGAUUAAUAUCUCAUCAGCUCGGGCGAUGCCCAGAUUUGCGAGCCCGGGAGAACUGGGC